rnacentral:rRNA from 1 species
UACGUAGGGGGCAAGCGUUGUCCGGAUUUAUUGGGCGUAAAGAGCGUGUAGGCGGCCAUACAGGUCAGCUGUGAAAACUCGAGGCUCAACCUCGAGACGUCGGUUGAAACCGUAUGGCUAGAGUCCGGAAGAGGAGAGUGGAAUUCCCGGUGUAGCGGUGAAAUGCGCAGAUAUCGGGAAGAACACCCGUGGCGAAGGCGGCUCUCUGGGACGGUACUGGACGCAUGAGACGCGAAAAGCGUGGG